rnacentral:misc_RNA from 1 species
GGAAUAAUUAACAUAUAAAUUUAAAAGUAAUUUAUAUAGACGGAGCUAAAAAAUUUAAGGACAAAAUGGAGAACCUCAUAAGUUCCUACUAAACAAACUGAGAACGCAAUCUAAUCGAUGCGGAUUACGUAAUCAGCAGUCUAAACUAUAGCUACUGGGGGCAACCAGAACAAGAUCAAGACUCGAACAAUCAACUCAGAGUCAACCCACUAUAACUCAGCCCGAGUCGGACCCAAAUAAAAAGUAAAGCUAAGCCACAUGAUUAAAGAAUGAAUGAUGGAUACUUACCCAUCUUUUCUGCUCACUUUUUGUCCCGGAAAAUGACGUCAUCUGCAAUAUCCAUCAGCGGCUGCAAGCAUUCCGGCGAGAAUUUCCUCGCAAAAAAGUAUGAAUAACUUGAAUUCGACUGCCUUAAUCUGUACACUAACUCCGGUGAAAUCUCCUCCCCCUGGUACAAAUAUGGGUGCCCAUCGAAGCUUCCAGUCCAAUUCACAUUCGUCAGCGUGUAAUGGCUGCAACCUCUCGGAUCCGCCAUUGAUAGAAGAGUAGGGAAGUAGUGCUCUUCUGGGUAACAAGAAUCUAAGUUCAAGCAAGGAAGUUUAAACUUUCUCCACAGUUUCUUAUCUUUAAGAAGAAGAACGGCGUGCCGUUUUGCUAAGACGAAGAACUGAGAUCCCACCUUGAAUUUCUCGAAUGGUACUUCCGGUAACAUGGCGUUCUCUCCUCUAGCAUUGUACCGAUCCUGCAAAUUGGGAUCUUCAGAGAGGAUUUCAAUGAAGCUUUUAUGCCGCGAUUGGGCUGCAAAAGCUGCUCGGAAAUUGCUGGUGGUGCCGAAGAGAGAACCGUACAUAUACUUGAAGGAAUGGAGAGGAAUACAAUGCUGAGAUACAAGAGCAAAAUAAAAGUUUAAAGGGUCAUCAAGAAUGGCACGAGCAAGAAGCCUACGCUCGGCAGAAAUCAAAGAUGAAGAUCCUCGUUCAGUUCUUUUGCUUGGAAUGAAUUGGGUUUUGAAAAUCACAGAAUCAGGGAUUGAAACUUGUGCAAAUGGGUCUGCGUGGACAUAGAUAUUGAAGAGAUGAGUAUUGCCAUGGAAGAAGCGUUCCCAUAGAGGAGCAAAGGUGAGAUCAGAGUUGGUAAGAAAAAGGAAAGCAAUUUUUGGGGUGGGAUUUUUGGUGGCUAAAUGUGAGAUCUUUUUGCUAGGCUCAAGAGCUUUUCUAAACAGAGAUAAAUCAUCAAGUUCUUCAUCGAUGGAGAUUUGGGGAGGAAGGAUUUGGUAGAUGAGGAGAAGAGAAAGCAAAAGGGUAAAGGAGUAGAGUAUUGGGGAUGAGAAGAACAUCAUCAAUUUGAUCAAAGGGAUGAUAUAUUAUUAUCAGAACAAAAUUGCUUCAAGUUUUAUCAGACACAGAGUUCGAUACUUUCGGCUUUAGUUUGGAUUGGAUGUUGAAAAAGAUAAGGCUAAAAAUUUAUAUUAGAGAAAAAAAACACAGAAUACAUUUAAGAAUGCAGAUGAUGCCACCAUGCUCUAGCAAGUUGAGGAUUUCUAGUACCUUUAAUUGCUACACUUCAGGUAUGGCGUCCAAAAAUCAAUUAUAACCGAA